rnacentral:rRNA from 1 species
AUUGAACGCUGGCGGCAGGCCUAACACAUGCAAGUCGAGCGGUAGAGAGAAGCUUGCUUCUCUUGAGAGCGGCGGACGGGUGAGUAAUGCCUAGGAAUCUGCCUGGUAGUGGGGGAUAACGUUCGGAAACGGACGCUAAUACCGCAUACGUCCUACGGGAGAAAGCAGGGGACCUUCGGGCCUUGCGCUAUCAGAUGAGCCUAGGUCGGAUUAGCUAGUUGGUGAGGUAAUGGCUCACCAAGGCGACGAUCCGUAACUGGUCUGAGAGGAUGAUCAGUCACACUGGAACUGAGACACGGUCCAGACUCCUACGGGAGGCAGCAGUGGGGAAUAUUGGACAAUGGGCGAAAGCCUGAUCCAGCCAUGCCGCGUGUGUGAAGAAGGUCUUCGGAUUGUAAAGCACUUUAAGUUGGGAGGAAGGGCAGUUACCUAAUACGUGAUUGUUUUGACGUUACCGACAGAAUAAGCACCGGCUAACUUCGUGCCAGCAGCCGCGGUAAUACGAAGGGUGCAAGCGUUAAUCGGAAUUACUGGGCGUAAAGCGCGCGUAGGUGGUUCAGCAAGUUGGAUGUGAAAUCCCCGGGCUCAACCUGGGAACUGCAUCCAAAACUACUGAGCUAGAGUACGGUAGAGGGUGGUGGAAUUUCCUGUGUAGCGGUGAAAUGCGUAGAUAUAGGAAGGAACACCAGUGGCGAAGGCGACCACCUGGACUGAUACUGACACUGAGGUGCGAAAGCGUGGAGAGCAAACAGGAUUAGAUACCCUGGUAGUCCACGCCGUAAACGAUGUCGACUAGCCGUUGGGAUCCUUGAGAUCUUAGUGGCGCAGCUAACGCGAUAAGUCGACCGCCUGGGGAGUACGGCCGCAAGGUUAAAACUCAAAUGAAUUGACGGGGGCCCGCACAAGCGGUGGAGCAUGUGGUUUAAUUCGAAGCAACGCGAAGAACCUUACCUGGCCUUGACAUGCUGAGAACUUUCCAGAGAUGGAUUGGUGCCUUCGGGAACUCAGACACAGGUGCUGCAUGGCUGUCGUCAGCUCGUGUCGUGAGAUGUUGGGUUAAGUCCCGUAACGAGCGCAACCCUUGUCCUUAGUUACCAGCACCUCGGGUGGGCACUCUAAGGAGACUGCCGGUGACAAACCGGAGGAAGGUGGGGAUGACGUCAAGUCAUCAUGGCCCUUACGGCCAGGGCUACACACGUGCUACAAUGGUCGGUACAAAGGGUUGCCAAGCCGCGAGGUGGAGCUAAUCCCAUAAAACCGAUCGUAGUCCGGAUCGCAGUCUGCAACUCGACUGCGUGAAGUCGGAAUCGCUAGUAAUCGUGAAUCAGAAUGUCACGGUGAAUACGUUCCCGGGCCUUGUACACACCGCCCGUCACACCAUGGGAGUGGGUUGCUCCAGAAGUAGCUAGUCUAACCGCAAGGGGGACGGUUACCACGGAGUGAUUCAUGACUGGGGUG